AAAGGUAGCAUAAUCAUUAGGGGUUUAAUUGGAACCUGGAAUGAAGGGUCGGACAAAGGAAUAACUGUCUAUAAAGUUUAGCUUGAAUUUUACUUUUAAGUGAAAAGGCUUAAAUAAAUCAAAGGGACGAUAAGACCCUAUAAAGCUUUAUAAAUAACUCAAAUCUAAUUGAUUUAAAUAUAAAUAUUGGAUUUAAUUAUUUUAUUUUAUUGGGGUGAUAUGAGUAUAAUUUUAGUUAACUACUUAUAAAGAAUUCUUUUAUAAAAGAUUGUAUAAAUGAAUGAUCCUUUGUAAAGAUUAGAAGACUAAGUUACUUUAGGGAUAACAGCGUUAUUUCUCUUGAGAGUUCAUAUCGAAAGAGAAGAUUGCGACCUCGAUGUUGAAUUAAAAUAUCUAUAUAGUGCAGCCGUUAUAAAAGAGGGUCUGUUCGACCUUUAAAUU
rnacentral:rRNA from 1 species